ensembl:lncRNA
GGGUGUUGUUGUGAUACCUUUUGAACCAGCAUUGGUUCUUCCCCUGAUGAAGGAGGUCUGGUCUUGGUGGCCAGUGGAGGCAGGUUUCGACAGGUGCUUUUAGCCACCAGUGGCUCUUUCACUGAUGACUUUAUGAAGGAAGAACUAGCCGGGGUUUUGGCCUCAUCGGCUGGUGGAGUUGGUUGUGGUUUGACCUCGAUUCGCAAUGGAGUUGGGUCUUUGGUCUCCUCUUCCAUUCUGCCCGAUUCUCUCUCGUCCACCAUCUUUCUUUCCUUCCUUAACUUUCUUUUCCUCCCCACCUCUCUUUUUUCCUCAUCAUUUAGGUACUUCUGGUCAGUAUCGCCAACAUCAAGGGGCCUCCUCAUCCCUUCCAUUGGGGUACUUUCUGCUUCUGUGCACUUCUGCACCCCCUGUUUUUUUCUCCUUUUGGGUAUGCGGUGAACAAAACAUUGAACCCACUCAAACAGACUGCGAAACAGUGCCAUUAUAAAACACUGAAUGCUAGAGAAUGCUGUGAACGUACUGUGAAAUGUCUACCAAGAGUCUCUUCCAAGCUGCAAAGUUAGUGUUUGGGUUAAAUAUCC